GAUGUAAACAAGAUAAUCCGCCAAAAUGGGAGAACAAAGACAAAGGGAGAAAAGCCUGUAGAUAAAGGGAAAUAGUGACCCCAGGAUCAUGAGCAUGGGGCCCAGGCUAUGCCGAACUUGUAUAUGACCUACUUGCAUUGAACGAUUGGUGCUAGAUGUAAACGGUGUACACACUCGGUGCCUAGAGAGUCUAAGACGUGUAGUGGACUCAAUGUUUCUGCGACUUGUAACUGAGUGCCAACUUGCAUCAACCUAAUGUGUGGUUAUUUCAUCAAGGGCGGAUCUAAAUUUUCAAAGUUGCAGGCAAUGAGGCUCCCUGAGAGUGCGAGAGAUCAUACAUGCAUUAUGGCCCGUCAGUCCUGAGACUCGCAAACUAGUGUGUAAGAGAAAGCAUCUGAUCCAACAAGAAGAUCGUGUGGACACUUGCAGAGUUGUCAUUUUGAAAUGGCAACCAAUGCCCUCUGACAGAAGAUGUAUACCAGAACUCACAUUCGAGAUACUUGAUAGCAGAAGCUUUGGAUAAGAGUUGCCUUGGAGAUGAUUAUUGACGAAAUACCUAGUUUUUGAAAAAACAAUGCAUUAUAGGAAAUACGGAACUUAUAUUAAGUCACAUUAGCACUAUAUUGUACCUUUUUGUUAGACACUAAACAAUUUUUCAGAACACUUGUUUUUUGUGAAGUGAAGCACUAAUAUACGUUCAUGUGAAGUUCAUCGCGAAUGAUCAUCUGACAUAUUCUGAUAUACUCGACAUUUAACAAUUGUUUCUGUUGAGUCUGUUAUAUUAUAUUUACAACAACAGUAAUCUCAUAAAAUAAAUUCACGAUCCAGUGAUCGAACCACUAGACUGUUACAAUGAUAUGUAUUUUUGCUAUGCAUACAUUAUGUGAUAUUAUGUUUAUGGAUUCCUGUAUUGUUGGAAACACAGUUGGCAGUCUAAAAAAAAAUAUGUUUAUGCAUAAAUGAUUCGGGCAAGGACAACAUAUAUUCACAAAUGCGAUUCAUUUACUUAACGUAAGGCACUGUUUUGACUUUAUCACGGCAUCAUGUACAUGAUACCGCUUUGUGAAGUCAGCACACACUUGUUCAAGUGUGAAGCUUGACACAUAGAGCACAUGGUAUUGACACAGCCACUUCAUCACCAAAUACACAAUACCGCUUUGUGAAGUCAGCACACACUUUUUCAAGUGUGAAGCUUGACACAUAGAGCACAUGGUAUUCACACAGCCACUUCAUCACCAAAUACACAAUACCGCUUUGUGAAGUCAGCACACACUUUUUCAACUGUGAAGCUUGACACAUAGAGCACAUGGUAUUCACACAGCCACUUCAUCACCAAAUACACAAUACCGCUUUGUGAAGUCAGCACACACUUUUUCAACUGUGAAGCUUGACACAUAGAGCACAUGGUAUUCACACAGCCACUUCAUCACCAAAUACACAAUACCGCUUUGUGAAGUCAGCACACACUUUUUCAAGUGUGAAGCUUGACACAUAGAGCACAUGGUAUUGACACAGCCACUUCAUCACCAAAUGCAUGAUACCGCUUUGUGAAGUCAGCACACAUUUGUUCAAGUGUGAAGCUUGACACAUAAACACAUUCAAUUUAUCCAAUAUACAUGUUGAUACAUAUUCAUAAUUUUUGUUUUUACAUUUCUAACAUAACGUGUCCACCUUCAUGAUUAUGUUCAUUAUUGGCACACUUUUUCAUGCAGUGUGUUUUUGUUAUUUUAUCUUCCAAAGCUGCAAUGUACAAAUAUUAUUUCUAUUUUUUUAAAAAACAUAUUUUACCUGGUAUUUGUAUAAUCCAUAUUCAAAUUUAGUAUUAAAGUUUAAAAAUUUC